rnacentral:rRNA from 1 species
GGACGGCAAGUUUACUUUGAACAAAUUUGAGUGCUCAAAGCAGGCCUGUGCCUGAAAAUUCUUGCAUGGAAUAAUGGAAUAGGACUUCGGUUCUAUUUUGUUGGUUUUCGGAUCCGAAGUAAUGGUUAAGAGGGACAGACGGGGGCAUUUGUAUGGCGGUGUUAGAGGUGAAAUUCUUGGAUCGCCGCCAGACAAACUACAGCGAAAGCAUUUGCCAAGGAUGUUUUCAUUGAUCUGGAGCGAAAGUCAGAGGUUCGAAGACGAUCAGAUACCGUCCUAGUUCUGACCAUAAACGAUGCCAACUGACGAUCCGUGGAUGUUCUUUAAUGACCCCACGGGCAGUCCCCGGGAAACCUUUAAGUCUUUGGGCUCCGGGGGAAGUAUGGUUGCAAAGCUGAAACUUAAAGGAAUUGACGGAAGGGCACCACCAGGAGUGGAGCCUGCGGCUUAAUUCGACUCAACACGGGAAAACUCACCCGGCCCGGACACUGUGAGGAUUGACAGAUUGAUAGCUCUUUCUUGAUUCGGUGGUUGGUGGUGCAUGGCCGUUCUUAGUUGGUGGAGCGAUUUGUCUGGUUAAUUCCGAUAACGAACGAGACUUUGGCCUGCUAAAUAGUAUACCUGUCCUCUGUGCUCGUGCAGGUGGCAGUUUUCACUGCCCGUUCUACGGGUGGUUGGAGCUGUUCGCCGGCGGGUACUGCGCAGGUGUUUACUUCUUAGAGGGACAAGCGACGCUAGUCGCACGAAAAUGAGCAAUAACAGGUCUGUGAUGCCCUUAGAUGUCCGGGGCCGCACGUGCGCUACAAUGACGGUUUCAGCGAGUUUUGAAACCUGGCCCGAAAGGGUUGGGCAAACUGAGUCAUAACCGUCGUGACUGGGAUCGGGGCUUGCAAUUAUUCCCCGUGAACGAGGAAUUCCUGGUAAGUGCAAGUCAUAAGCUUGCGCUGAUUACGUCCCUGCCCUUUGUACACACCGCCCGUCGCUACUACCGAUUGAAUGGUUUAGCAAGGUCGUCGGAUUGGUGCCAUUGUAGUUGCUUCGGCAGCUCGAACGG